rnacentral:rRNA from 1 species
CCCGCUGAACUUAAGCAUAUAACUAAGCGGAGGAAAAGAAACUAACAAGGAUUCCCCUAGUAACGGCGAGUGAAGAGGGAAGAGCUCAAAUUUUGAAUCUGGCGUCUUUGGCGUCCGAAUUGUAAUCUAGAGAAGUGUUUUCCGUGACGGACCGUGCACAAGUCUCCUGGAAUGGAGCGUCAUAGAGGGUGAGAAUCCCGUAUAUGGCAUGGACUGCCGUUGCUCUGUGAUACACUCUCGACGAGUCGAGUUGUUUGGGAAUGCAGCUCUAAAUGGGUGGUAAAUGCCAUCUAAAGCUAAAUAUUGGCGAGAGACCGAUAGCGAACAAGUACCGUGAGGGAAAGAUGAAAAGCACUUUGGAAAGAGAGUGAAACAGUACGUGAAAUUGUUGAAAGGGAAACGCUUGAAGUCAGUCGCGCCGUUCGGGAUUCAGCCUCGCCUCGGCUUGGUGUACUUCUCGGACGACGGGUCAGCAUCAAUUUUGCCCCUUGGAUAAUGGCGAGGGAAAUGUGACACCUUUGCGGGUGUGUUAUAGUCUCUAGUCGCAUGCAAGGGUCGGGAUUGAGGAACUCAGCACGCGCCUUCGGGCGUCGGGGUUCGCCCACGAUACGUGCUUAGGAUGUUGGCGUAAUGGCUUUAAGCGACCCGUCUUGAAACACGG